GUUGAAGAACGCAGCGAAAUGCGAUAAGUAAUGUGAAUUGCAGAAUUCAGUGAAUCAUCGAAUCUUUGAACGCAUCUUGCGCUCCUUGGUAUUCUGAGGAGCAUGCCUGUUUGAGUGUCAUUAAAUUCUCAACUACACUGACUUUGAAUUGGUGUGGCUUGGAUUUGGGGGGAAAAUUGUUGUGGGCUUUUUGUAUAGUCUGCUCCCCUGAAAUUGAUUAGCGGUACCUUUGUGGAACUGUCUACAGGUGUGAUAAUUAUCUACAUCUUAGACAUCUGCUGGAAUGCUGCUUUCUAAACCUCACUUGUAUUGACAAUCUUGACCUCAAAUCAGGUAGGACUACCCGCUGAACUUAAGCAUAUCAAUAAGCGGAGGA
rnacentral:misc_RNA from 1 species